UACGUAGGGGGCGAGCGUUGUCCGAAGUUACUGGGCGUAAAGCGCGCGUAGGCGGUCAUUUAAGUCUGAGGUGAAAGGUUCAGCGCUCAACGCGAACAGUGCCUUGGAUACUGGGUGACUUGAGUGUCAGAGAGGGAAGUGGAAUUCCUGGUGUAGCGGUGAAAUGCGUAGAUAUCAGGAGGAACACCGGUGGCGAAGGCGGCUUCCUGGCUGACAACUGACGCUGAGGUGCGAAAGCGUGGGGAGCGAACGGG
rnacentral:rRNA from 1 species